rnacentral:lncRNA from 1 species
AAAUAUGAAUAAUGAGAAUACCUCCAAAUUGCAAGAUUUUCAAAUUGUUGCAACAUAUAAGUAUAAAACGUUUUGAAUAUUAUCACUUAUGCCUUUGAAGAACUUUUGAAGAACCAAGAACUUCAUCAACUCCUUCGAUAGAGUCAUUCAAAUAUACCUCGACUCCAAAAGCUAAGAGUAUAAUUUAUCCCUCAAGACUAACAGUAGAUGGCUAGUCACUUAAACUAUAAAGUCCCUCAUCCUAUGGUGACCGACUUGUAGGCUCAAAAAGAACAGUCUUAGAAUUUUAUUGAGUCAUAAAAGUGCAACAGGGACCAUCCCUUACGUAAUGAAUAAAAAUCCACACCAAUAUCACAUUUAAGGCAUUAUCUAGCCUUCACAUUAUAAGUUAAGUGUGACUGAAGUUUCGAUACAUCCCAACACUUACAAAAUUAAGUCUCAUAUUUCAUCUCUCAUACACAAAAUUUCUACAUAUUCAUUCCUUUAGGGUUGUCAAGGCACCCUAAACAUUUCAAAAUUUAGGCUCAUAUAUGAAGGGUUUGUCUACAUUUGUAUAAAGCAGAAGAUUGAAAGUUCUUGUGAAAAUAGUUAGCCUAACAACAUGCACCAAAUAUUAUAAAACCAAAAGGAUUUGUGGAAAUUUCAUUACCUUGACUAACAAACAAAUUGUCUUUCAAAACAUCAGUACCAAAAGGGUCUCCAUACAAAAGCAAAGUUUGCUGAAUCAUUCUGGUACUACCAAUUCCACUAUUAAAAAAUUCAAGAAUUAAAACCUGAAAAGCAAGAGAGGUAUAAAUGUUACCAUUGAAGGUGAAACUGCAAAUUUUUAAAUUGCAUGUUUUAAAGAAGAUGAAAGGACCGAACAAUGUGUGUUUCAUCUUAUUUAAACACAUCAUAACCUCUGAAGAGGAAUGCAGAGAAGUAAGAGAAGUAAUGAGGCAUCCCAUAUAGCACGCAAUGACAAAUCACAGUCUAAAAGUGAACUCGAUGCCAUAAAAACACAACGAAUACUAGUAUUUUCGGAUUGACUUUUCCACAACUGGGUGCACGUCCCAAUGCCAUGUUUUCUGAGAAGCUACAAAAUGAAACUUCAGCACAGAUGUGUGUUUGGUGUGAUUCUACCAUGGAAACAGACAUGCAAUACAAAGCUUUAUAUUAUGAAUACAAAUUCAUAUCAAUAUCGCUCGCAUGUAAGACAUCAUCAAACUUUAAAUUAUGAUUGCAGUGUUCAUGAUGUUCCUUUUAGGGUCAAAUGAGGCAUCCCAUCUCAAAAUUCAUUGAACAAAUAAUAUUCAUAAUUCAUAUUCUUUUCGGGUCAUCGAGGCAUCCUAUAUUCCAUCUCAAUGUGGCAAUUUACAAUUUAGAAUUGCAUUCAGGGUUAUAAAAGCACACAAUGGAUCCAUCCAUUAUAUUACGAAUAAAAAUUCAUAACAAAAUCAAAUUUAAGGCAUCAUACAACUUUUACAUUGUGAGUGAAGUAUUCGUAAUGUUUCCUUUAGGGUCAUCGAGGCAUUCACACACCUGCAACAUUUAUAGAACAUAUAAUAUCCAUUGAUUCAUUUAGGAUCAUCAAGGCAUCUAACAUUUCAUCUCGUAGUGGCAAUCGAUAGUCUAGAAUUGCAUUCAGGGUUAUAAAAGUACGACGAAUCCAUCCCUUAUAUUAUGAAUAAAGAUUGAUAUUAGGGUCAUCGAUUUUUACAUUAUGAGUGAAGUGUUCAAAAUAUUUCCUUUAGGAUCAUUGAGGCAUCCAAACACUUGUAACAUUUAUGAAACAAAUCAUAAUCAUUAAUUCUUUUCGGGUCAUAGAGACAUUAUGAAUGAAUAAAAAUUCAUAACAAUUUCACAUUUAAGGCAUCAUCCAACCUUUAUAUUAUGGGUAAAGUGUUCAUAAUGUUUGCUUCAGGGUCAUUUAGGCAUCUUGUAACACUUCUGAGAUAAAUAAUAUCCAUCAAUUCCUUUCGGGUCAUCGAGGCAUCAUUUCAAAACCCAGGCUCAAAUAUCAUAUGGGUCAUCGAGGCAUGCAAACACUUGCAAUAUUUAUGGGACAAAUAAUAUCGAUCAAUUCCUUUCGGGUCAUUGAGACAUUAUAAUAAUUUCAAAACUCAGGCUCAUAUAUCAUAUUUGAGUGACAAUUCAUAGUCUAGAAUUGCACUCAAGAUCAUAUAUAAUCACUGAGACAUCUCAACAUUUAGAAAAUAGUUUCCUUUAAAAUCACCGAGGCAUCCCAACAUUUACAAAAUUUAAUGGGACAAAUUAUGUCCAUCAAUUCUUUUCGGGACAUCAAGGCAUCAUAAUAAUUUCAAAACUCAGGCUCAUAUAUUUGAGUGACAAUUCAUAGUCUAGAAUUGCACUCAAGAUCGUAAAAUCACUGAGGCAUCCCAACAUUUACAAAAUGUAGAUUUCUUUAAAAUCACCGAGGCAUCCCAACAUUUACAAAAUUUAAUGGGACAAAUAAUAUCCGUUAAUUAGGGUUGGGAAUAGGCCAGGCUGGCAUACAGGGGCCUACGGCCUAGCCUGUUUUGGCCUGGUCUGGCCUGACCUGUUUAGUAGAUAGGCUUAGGCUUAGGCUUUUUAAAAAGCUUGUUUAGUUAAAUAGGUCAGGCUUAGGCUUUCAGAAAAGCCUGUUAAGUCUAAUAGGCCGACCUAUUAAUACUUAUUUAUUAAAAAAUAUUUUUUAUAUUAAAAUAAUUGCAUAAAUUAAAAAUAUAAACAUCUUUUUCUCUAUCUAUUAGUCCCUAAAUAGGUUUUGUUGUUAUAGGCUUUUAAGUAGACUUUAAUCUAGUUAAAAUUUACUUGUAGUUAAAUAGGCUUUUAAGUAGGCUUUAAGGCAUGUUUAGCUUAUUUAGUAGGCCAAAUGAACUAUUUGAUGACCUUAAUAUAAAGUAGGCCUGUAAGUAGGCUUUCAGGCCAGUCCAGGCUUUUAAAUAGGUCAGGCCAGGCCAAGAAAAACGGCCUAUAAUAGGCCACAGGCCAGGCUCAGGCUUGUAAAUUUUUUCGUAGGCCAGGCUCAGGCCUAUCAAAGCCUGGCCUGGCCUAUUCCCACCCCUACCGUCAAUUCUUUUCGGGUCAUCGAUCAAGGCAUCGUAAUAAUUUCAAAACUCAGGCUCAUAUAUCAUAUCUGAGUGACAAUUUUAGUCUAGAAUUGCACUCAAGAUUGUAAAAUCACAGAUGCAUCCCAACAUUUACAAUAUUUAAUGGAAAAAAUAAUAUCCGUCAAUUCUUUUCGGGUCAUCGAUCAAGGCAUCGUAAUAAUUUCAAAACUCAGGCUCAUAUAUCAUAUCUGAGUGACAAUUUUAGUCUAGAAUUGCACUCAAGAUUGUAAAAUCACCGAGGCAUCCCAACAUUUACAAAAUUUAAUGGAACAAAUAAUUUCCGUCAAUUCUUUUCGGGUCAUCGAUCAAGGCAUCAUAAUAAUUUCAAAACUCAGGCUCAUAUAUCAUAUCUGAGUGACAAUUCUAGUCUAGAAUUGCACUCAAGAUCGUAAAAUCACCGACUCAUCCUAACAUUUACAAAAUUUAAUGGAACAAAUAAUAUCUGUCAAUUCUUUUCGGGUCAUCGAUCAAGACAUCGUAAUAAUUUCAAAACUCAGGCUCAUAUAUCAUAUCCGAGUGACAAUUCUAGUCUAGAAUUGCACUCAAGAUUGUAAAAUCACCGAGGCAUCCCAAAAUUUACAAAAUUUAAUGGAACGAAUAAUAUCUGUCAAUUCUUUUCGGGUCAUCGAUCAAGGCAUCGUAAUAAUUUCAAAACUCAGGCUUAUAUAUCAUAUCUGAGUGACAAUUUUAGUCUAGAAUUGCACUCAAGAUUGUAAAAUCACCGAGACAUCCCAACAUUUACAAAAUUUAAUGGAACAAAUAAUUUCCAUCAAUUCUUUUCGGGUAAUCGAUCAAGGCAUCGUAAUAAUUUCAAAACUCAGGCUCAUAUAUCAUAUCUGAGUGACAAUUUUAGUCUAGAAUUGCACUCAAGAUUGUAAAAUCACCGAGGCAUCCCAACAUUUACAAAAUUUAAUGGAACAAAUAAUUUCCGUUAAUUCUUUUCUGGUCAUCGAUCAAUACAUCCUAAUAAUUUCAAAACUCGGGCUCAUAUAUCAUAUCUGAGUGACAAUUCUAGUCUAGAAUUGCACUCAAGAUCGUAAAAUCACCGAGGCAUCCAAACAUUUACAAAAUUUAAUGGAACAAAUAAUAUCUGUCAAUUCUUUUCGGGUCAUCGACCAAGGCAUCCUAAUAAUUUCAAAACUCAGGCUCAUAUAUCAUAUCCGAGUGACAAUUCUGGUCUAGAAUUGCACUCAAGAUUGUAAAAUCACCGACGCAACCCAACAUUUACAAAAUUUAAUGGAACGAAUAAUAUCCGUCAAUUUUUUUCUUCCUUUGAAAUGUAUCUCAAUUUCUUUUAUAUACGUAAACUUUGAGAUGCCUAUUCCACAUUUUGCAUAAACUUAACAACUCUCAAUCAAAAUUAGGAAUCAGGAAAUAUGAAUAAUGAGAAUACCUCCAAAUUGCAAGAUUUUCAAAUUGUUGCAACAUAUAAGUAUAAAACGUUUUGAAUAUUAUCACUUAUGCCUUUGAAGAACUUUUGAAGAACCAAGAACUUCAUCAACUCCUUCGAUAGAGUCAUUCAAAUAUACCUCGACUCCAAAAGCUAAGAGUAUAAUUUAUCCCUCAAGACUAACAGUAGAUGGCUAGUCACUUAAACUAUAAAGUCCCUCAUCCUAUGGUGACCGACUUGUAGGCUCAAAAAGAACAGUCUUAGAAUUUUAUUGAGUCAUAAAAGUGCAACAGGUACCAUCCCUUACGUAAUGAAUAAAAAUCCACACCAAUAUCACAUUUAAGGCAUUAUCUAGCCUUCACAUUAUAAGUGAAGUUUCGAUACAUCCCAACACUUACACAAUUAAGUCUCAUAUUUCAUCUCUCAUACACAAAAUUUCUACAUAUUCAUUCCUUUAUGGUUGUCAAGGCACCCUAAACAUUUCAAAAUUUAGGCUCAUAUAUGAAGGGUUUGUCUACAUUUGUAUAAAGCAGAAGAUUGAAAGUUCUUGUGAAAAUAGUUAGCCUAACAACAUGCACCAAAUAUUAUAAAACCAAAAGGAUUUGUGGAAAUUUCAUUACCUUGACUAACAAACAAAUUGUCUUUCAAAACAUCAGUACCAAAAGGGUCUCCAUACAAAAGCAAAGUUUGCUGAAUCAUUCUGGUACUACCAAUUCCACUAUUAAAAAAUUCAAGAAUUAAAACCUGAAAAGCAAGAGAGGUAUAAAUUUUACCAUUGAAGGUGAAACUGCAAAUUUUUAAAUUGCAUGUUUUAAAGAAGAUGAAAGGACCGAACAAUGUGUGUUUCAUCUUAUUUAAACACAUCAUAACCUCUGAAGAGGAAUGUAGAGAAGUAAUGAGGCAUCCCAUAUAGCACGUAAUGACAAAUCACAGUCUAAAAGUGAACUCGAUGCCAUAAAAACACAACGAAUACUAGUAUUUUUGGAUUGACUUUUCCACAACUGGGUGCACGUCCCAAUGCCAUGUUUUCUGAGAAGCUACAAAAUGAAACUUCAGCACAGAUGUGUGUUUGGUGUGAUUCUACCAUGGAAACAGACAUGCAAUACAAAGCUUUAUAUUAUGAAUACAAAUUCAUAUCAAUAUCGCUCGCAUGUAAGACAUCAUCAAACUUUAAAUUAUGAUUGCAGUGUUCAUGAAGUUCCUUUUAGGGUCAAAUGAGGCAUCCCAUCUCAAAAUUCAUGGAACAAAUAAUAUUCAUGAUUCAUAUUCUUUUCGGGUCAUCGAGGCAUCCUAUAUUCCAUCUCAAUGUGGCAAUUUACAAUUUAGAAUUGCGUUCAGGGUCAUAAAAGCACACAAUGGAUCCAUCCAUUAUAUUACGAAUAAAAAUUCAUAACAAAAUCACAUUUAAGGCAUCAUACAACUUUUACAUUGUGAGUGAAGUAUUCGUAAUGUUUCCUUUAGUGUCAUCGAGGCAUCCACACACCUGCAACAUUUAUGGAACAUUUAAUAUCCAUUGAUUCAUUUAGGAUCAUCAAGGCAUCUAACAUUUCAUCUCGUAGUGGCAAUCGAUAGUCUAGAAUUGCAUUCAGGGUUAUAAAAGUACGACGAAUCCAUCCCUUAUAUUAUGAAUAAAGAUUGAUAUUAGGGUCAUCGAUUUUUACACUAUGAGUGAAGUGUUCAAAAUAUUUCCUUUAGGGUCAUUGAGGCAUCCAAACACUUGUAACAUUUAUGAAACAAAUCAUAUCCAUUAAUUUUUUUCGGGUCAUAGAUGCAUUAUGAAUGAAUAAAAAAAUUCAUAACAAUCUCACAUUUAAGGCAUCAUCCAACCUUUAUAGUAUGGGUAAAGUGUUCAUAAUGUUUGCUUCAGGGUCAUCUAGGCAUCUUGUCACACUUCUGAGAUAAAUAAUAUCCAUCAAUUCCUUUCGGGUCAUCGAGGCAUCAUUUCAAAACCCAGGCUCAAAUAUCAUAUGGGUCAUCGAGGCAUGCAAACACUUGCAAUAUUUAUGGGACAAAUAAUAUCGAUCAAUUCCUUUUGGGUCAUUGAGGCAUUAUAAUAAUUUCAAAACUCAGACUCAUAUAUCAUAUUUGAGUGACAAUUCAUAGUCUAGAAUUGCACUCAAGAUCAUAUAUAAUCACUGAGACAUCUCAACAUUUAGAAAAUAGUUUCCUUUAAAAUCACCGAGGCAUCCCAACAUUUACAAAAUUUAAUGGGACAAAUUAUGUCCAUCAAUUCUUUUCGGGACAUCAAGGCAUCAUAAUAAUUUCAAAACUCAGGCUCAUAUAUUUGAGUGACAAUUCAUAGUCUAGAAUUGCACUCAAGAUCGUAAAAUCACCAAGGCAUCCCAACAUUUACAAAAUUCAAUGGGACAAAUUAUAUCCGUCAAUUAUUUUCGGGUCAUCGAGGCAUCAUAAUAAUCUCAAAACUCAGGCUCAUAUAUCAUAUCUAAGUGACAAUUCUAGUCUAGAAUUGCACUCAAUAUCGUAAAAUCACCGAGGCAUCCAAACAUUUACAAAAUUUAAUGGAACAAAUAAUAUAUGUCAAUUCUUUUCAGGUCAUCGAUCAAGGCAUCGUAAUAAUUUCAAAACUCAGGCUCAUAUAUCAUAUCCGAGUGACAAUUCUAGUCUAGAAUUGCACUCAAGAUUGUAAAAUCACCGAGGCAUCCCAACAUUUACAAAAUUUAAUGGAACAAAUAAUAUCCGUCAAUUCUUUUCGGGUCAUCGAUCAAGGCAUCGUAAUAAUUUCAAAACUCAGGCUCAUAUAAAUUAUUUUCUUCCUUUUAAAUGUAUCUCAAUUUCUUUUAUAUACGUAAACUUUGAGAUGCCUAUACCAUAUUUUGCAUAAACUUAACAACUCUCAAUCAAAAUUAUGAAUCAGGAAAUAUGAAUAAUGAGAAUACCUCCAAAUUGCAAGAUUUUCAAAUUGUUGCAACAUAUAAGUAUAAAACGUUUUGAAUAUUAUCACUUAUGCCUUUGAAGAACUUUUGAAGAACCAAGAACUUCAUCAACUCCUUCGAUAGAGUCAUUCAAAUAUACCUCGACUCCAAAAGCUAAGAGUAUAAUUUAUUCCUCAAGACUAACACUAGAUGGCUAGUCACUUAAACUAUAAAGUCCCUCAUCCUAUGCUGACCGACUUGUAGGCUCAAAAAGCACAGUCUUAAAAUUUUAUUGAGUCAUAAAAGUGCAACAGGUACCAUCCCUUAUGUAAUGAAUAAAAAUCCACACCAAUAUCACAUUUAAGGCAUUAUCUAGCCUUCACAUUAUAAGUUAAGUGUGACUGAAGUUUCGAUAUAUCCCAACACUUACAAAAUUAAGUCUCAUAUUUCAUCUCUCAUACACAAAAUUUCUACAUAUUCAUUCCUUUAGGGUUGUCAAGGCACCCUAAACAUUUCAAAAUUUAGGCUCAUAUAUGAAGGGUUUGUCUACAUUUGUAUAAAGCAGAAGAUUGAAAGUUCUUGUGAAAAUAGUUAGCCUAACAACAUGCACCAAAUAUUAUAAAACCAAAAGGAUUUGUGGAAAUUUCAUUACCUUGACUAACAAACAAAUUGUCUUUCAAAACAUCAGUACCAAAAGGGUCUCCAUACAAAAACAAAGUUUGCUGAAUCAUUCUGGUACUACCAAUUCCACUAUUAAAAAAUUCAAGAAUUAAAACCUGAAAAGCAAGAGAGGUAUAAAUGUUACCAUUGAAGGUGAGACUGCAAAUUUUUUAAAUUGCAUGUUUUAAAGAAGAUGAAAGGACGGAACAAUGUGUUUCAUCUUAUUUAAACACAUCAUAACCUCUGAAGAGGAAUGCAGAGAAGUAAGAGAAGUAAUGAGGCAUCCCAUAUAGCACGCAAUGACAAAUCGCAGUCUAAAAGUGAACUCGAUGCCAUAAAAACACAACAAAUACUAGUAUGUUUGGAUUGACUUUUCCACAACUGGGUGCACGUCCCAAUGCCACGUUUUCUGAGAAGCUACAAAAUGAAACUUCAGCACAGAUGUGUGUUUGGUGUGAUUCUACCAUGAAAACAGACAUGCAAUACAAAGCUUUAUAUUAUGAAUACAAAUUCAUAUCAAUAUCGCUCGCAUGUAAGACAUCGUCAAACUUUAAAUUAUGAUUGCAGUGUUCAUGAUGUUCCUUUUAGGGUCAAAUGAGGCAUCCCAUCUCAAAAUUCAUGGAACAAAUAAUAUUCAUGAUUCAUAUUCUUUUCGAGUCAUCGAGGCAUCCUAUAUUCCAUCUCAAUGUGGAAAUUUACAAUUUAGAAUUGCAUUCAGGCUCGUAUAUCAUAUCUGAGCGACAAUUCUAGUCUAGAAUUGCACUCAAGAUCGUAAAAUCAACAGGGCAUCCCAACAUUUACAAAAUUCAAUGGAACAAAUUAUAUCCGUCAAUUCUUUUCGGGUCAUCGAGGCAUUAUAAUAAUUUCAAAACUCAGGCUCAUAUAUCAUAUCUGAGUGACAAUUAUAGUCUAGAAUUGCACUCAAGAUCGUAAAAUCACCGAGGCAUCCAAACAUUUACAAAAUUUAAUGGAAUAAAUAAUAUCCGUCAAUUCUUUUCGGGUCAUCGAUCAAAGCAUCGUAAUAAUUUCAAAACUCAGGCUCAUAUAUCAUAUCUGAGUGACAAUUUUAGUCAAGAAUUGCACUCAAGAUUGUAAAAUCACCGAGGCAUCCCAACAUUUACAAAAUGUAAUGGAACAAAUAAUAUCCGUCAAUUCUUUUUGGGUCAUCGAUCAAGGCAUCAUAAUAAUUUCAAAACUCAGGCUCGUAUAUCAUAUCCAAGUGACAAUUCUAGUCUAGAAUUGCACUCAAGAUUGUAAAAUCACCGAGGCAUCCCAACAUUUACAAAAUUUAAUGGAACAAAUAAUAUCAUUCUUUUCGGGUCAUGGAUCAAGGCAUCAUAAUAAUUUCAAAACUUAAGCUCAUAUAUCAUAUCUGAGAGACAAUUCUAGUCUAGAUUUGCACUCAAGAUUGUAAAAUCACCGAGGCAUCCCAACAUUUACAAAAUUUAAUGGAACAAAUAAUAUCCGUCAAUUAUUUUUGGGUCAUCGAUCAAGGCAUCAACAAUUGUAGUCUAGAAUUGCACUUAAGAUUGUAAAAUCACCGAGGCAUCCCAACAUUUACAAAUUUAAUGGAACAAAUAAUAUCCGUCAAUUCUUUUCGGGUCAUCGAUCAAGACAUUAUAAUAAUUUCAAAACUCAGACUCAGAUAUAAUAUAUGAGUGACAAUUCUAGUCUAGAAUUGCACUCAAGAUUGUAAAAUCACCUAGGCAUCAUUUACAAAAUUUAAGGAGCAAAAAGUAAUAUGCAUCGUUUCCAUCCAUUACCUAAGAUUGUAUCAUCCUUUUCAAAUUACCAAAAUUGAUUUCAACUCAAAGAGGCGAUCACAGUAAAGAAUUAAAUUCAUGUCAUAAAAGAUAUCAUCCAACUCUACAUUAUGAAUUUUUUUAAGUCAAGGAAACCUAACGGUUUCAACAUUUAGGCUCAAAUAUUGUGAAAAAGAAUGAUCUUGCAGAGUUUCACACGUUUAUGGGGUUUGUUAAAUUGUACAGGGCUGUUGUUGUUAAAGCAGAAAAUUGAAGGUUGUUGAAUAAGGAAGAAUAUAGGGUUUAUGAAUAUUCAAGAAUCAAAAUCUAAAAAUCAAGAUAAAGUUAGAAAUGUACCGUUGAAAAUGAAAGGGGGACAGAACAGAGCGUGUUUCGUCGCUUUCUUGAAGAAAAAAGAAUUCGGCAACGAUUCCUACGAAACCUUUGAAUCGGAACGGUAUUGAUUUUCAUGUUUCGAUUCUUUGAAUUAUUUUAGAUUUAACGCAGUGUUUUCCAUUUAUCGGCUUUUCUACUGGGCUUUUGAUUUUAAUGGCAUGUUGAGC